GACGAACGCUGGCGGCGUGCCUAAUACAUGCAAGUAGGACGCAGUUGCGAACGGGUGAGUAACGCGUAGGUAACUACCUAUUAGAGGGGGAUAACUAUUGGAAACGAUAGCUAAUACCGCCUACUAGUAGAUGGACCUGCGUUGUAUUAGCUAGUAGGUAGGGUAAUGGCCUACCUAGGCAACGAUACAUAGCCGACCUGAGAGGGUGAGCGGGCACAACGGGACGUGGAAAAGGCCCAGAAGCCUACGGGAGGGAACAGGAGGGAAUCUUUGGAAAUGGGGCGAAAGCUGAACGAGCAACGCCGCGGGAGGGGAGAAGGGUUUCGGAGCGUAAAGCUCUGUUGUGAAGGAAGCGGUACUUAACCAGAAAGGGACGGCUAACUACGUGCCAGCAGCCGCGGUAAUUC
rnacentral:rRNA from 1 species